rnacentral:rRNA from 1 species
AUUGAACGCUGGCGGCAGGCCUAACACAUGCAAGUCGAACGAGUGGCGGACGGGUGAGUAAUGUCUGGGAAACUGCCUGAUGGAGGGGGAUAACUACUGGAAACGGUAGCUAAUACCGCAUACCAUCAGAUGUGCCCAGAUGGGCUUGACUAGGUGGUGGGGUAACGGCUCACAAAGGCGACGAUCCCUAGCUGGUCUGCAAGGAUGACCAGCCACACUGGAACUGAGAAACGGUCAAGACUCCUACGGGAGGCAGCAUUGGGGAAUAUUGAACAAUGGGCGCAAGCCUGAUGCAGCCAUGCCGCGUGUAUGAAGAAGGCCGUCGGGUUGUAAAGUACUUUCAGCGGGGAGGCGUUACCCGCAGAAGAAGCACCGGCUAACUCCGUGCCAGCAGCCGCGGUAAUUC